UUAUGGCUCAGGAUGAACGCUGGCGGCGUGCCUAACACAUGCAAGUCGAGCGAGAAACUCAUGACCAAUACUCGGUAGCGUGAUGAGCGGAAAGCGGCGGACGGGUGAGUAACGCGUAGGCAACCUGCCCCUUGCAGAGGGAUAGCCUCGGGAAACCGGGAUUAAAACCUCAUAAUGCGUAACGGAGACAUCUCCGAUACGCCAAAGAUUUAUCGGCAAGGGAUGGGCCUGCGUCUGAUUAGUUAGUUGGUGGGGUAACGGCCUACCAAGGCAGCGAUCAGUAGCCGACCUGAGAGGGUGAUCGGCCACAUUGGAACUGAGACACGGUCCAAACUCCUACGGGAGGCAGCAGUGGGGAAUAUUGCACAAUGGGCGAAAGCCCUGAUGCAGCAACGCCGCGUGAAGGAUGAAGGCCCUUGGGUCGUAAACUUCUGUUCUAAGGGAAGAUAAUGACGGUACCUUAGGAGCAAGUCCCGGCUAACUACGUGCCAGCAGCGGC
rnacentral:rRNA from 1 species